AUAUAACUAUGUACUUUUAACUUAUUCAAUAUGUUAGAAUAUAAAAAUACUAAUUAGAACAUAUGUUGCAUUCUGUUAGUAAAGGGUAAUUAUUUCCUCCCUGGUAUCUCUGAGAUAUUGUAGCUGAACAGUUUUUAGUGGAUUAUUUUAAACAUAUAAAAUAAUGUGCUAUUGAAGUACACAAAUUUUUGGAAACAGAUACUUUAAUUCAUUCAUUUGUUCAUUCAUCCAUUUGACAAAUAUAAAUUAAGAGUUUACUAUGACCAAGCAUUGCUUUAAGAGUUUGGGAUAAAUAUAGUGAACAAAACAGGAAAAAAUUUAAACUUAACAAAGCUUACAUUAUGUAGGGAGACAAUAAUAAUAACUGUGUUUAUGUAGUCUGUAGUAUGUGCUAAUACUGUUGUAAAUAUGAAUUUGGUCAAUAUGUAUCAAUUUCUGAUAAAUAGAAAAUCACAGAAAUAAUACUUAAUACUAAUAUACCUACUGUAUGUGAUGCUGACCAUGGAUAUUUCACUUUUGUUAUUUAUUACCUUAUUUAUUAUUAUUAAGACCAGUCUUUGUCUUUUUUAAAUGUUGAGAUUUUAUUUUACUUAACACUGUAUACGUAUUUAGGGAAAUCCACAGCAAUUUCAAAGAUUGAUUUCAAAAAGAGAUUUCCUUUCCCUGUGCCCUUGUCUAACUUAACUCUGCAUUUGUUAUGAAAUAAUGUAAAUUUUGUAUUUUUCAAGCCUUAUCUGGAUCAAUAGAUGGUGGUUAGCUCUUGGAUCUUUCAGUUUAAGUGAAUUCUUUUUAUCUUAUGUUUUAUGUACUGUAACUUUCAGGUGAUGACUAAAUACUUAAUUCAAAAGUAAAUGAUUCCUGUGAAAAUAAUUUUAUUUUCUUAUUAUUUUACUUUUAGGUAAUUAUUACAACAUCAAAAAUCUCCUGAAUGAUGAAAGUAUUCUUCUUUUUACUCAAAUUAAGAGAUGAAGGAUGAAGCAAGUUUAAAUAUGUGUGGGUAUUUAUGUAUAUGUGUAUAAAAUAUACAUGUACACACAUGUAUAAAGCAGCUUGUAUAGUUGACAUUUAUUUUUGUAAUUACUUGUGUUAUUUUAAAAUAAAAAUUUUAUUCAGCUUUGUGUAAAUGUGUAUUAGAUAAACAUUUCAUACUCGGACGAGUAUCUUCGCAUUUUUUGUGAACACACAUCAUCUGUAGUGAUAUUAUUUUAACAACAUGAAAAGCAUACCAAAACCACUACUCCUUCAAUGAAUAUAGGACAUAUAUUUUUACCAGAAGAGAGCUGAUUAAUGUCAGUUGAUUUAAAAUUAGUUUUCCCAAAUUCUCAUUUUUAAUUAUUGAGCAUUAAAGAACUGUGGUAAAUGUUUGUUUCUAGGGCUUCUGUAACAAAUUAUUACAAACUGAGUGACUUAAACUAAUAGAAAUUUGUUAUCUUAGUUAUGGAGGCUUGAAGUCUGAAAUUAAGGUGUUGUGAGGGCCAUGAUGUCUCAGAAACCUGGAGAAAUAAUGAUUCCUUCCCUCUUUCUGAUUUCUCUUGAAAUGCUGGCAAUCUUUGGUAUUCCUUGGCUUGCACCUACUACUACUACAAUCCCUGCCUCCAUUGUCAAAUGAUAUUCUUGCUUGGCAUGCAAAUGUCCUCACAUGACAUUUGUUUAAUUAUAACAAUUCGAACUUUUCUUCCAUCUUGUUUCCGUUUGUAUUUUCUGCUGGAAGUGGUACCCUGCGCCAUUGCUUUCUGCAUGUGGCCUCCUUAGCUCCUUUUAAUAUUAAAAGGAAAUGCUUCAGGAAACAACUCUGCUAACAAAGUUGAAUUUUGAUUUUUUUUUUGGGGGGGCUAUAAAUAUAUAUUAUAAGAUUGUCAGUUCUAAAGAAGUUUAUUUCAUGUGAAUUAUUUUUAGGCUGACCCUCUUCAUGACUCUUUAAUAGUUAAAUAUACAUACACAUUGAAAACAGGUUUGGUAUCUGGGGUCUGAGAAAGAAUGAAGUUAUGAUAGGCUUUGUUAAACCACAUUUUUUGUGUGUGUUUUUUUUUUUUUUUUUUAAUUUCAUUAAAAAAAAAAAUAAGAGUUGGGUGCAAUGGUGUACACCUGAAACCCUAGAGGCUUGGGAAGCUAAGACAGGAUGAUCAUGAGUUCAAAACCAGCUUCAGCACAAGCGAGAUGCUCAGCAACUCAGUGAGACACCCUGUCUGUAAAUAGAAUACAAAAUAGGGCUGGGGAUGUGUCUCAGUGGUUGAGUACCCAAGUUCAAUCCCCACUACCCCCCCCCAAAAAAAAAAGGAAUUAUUCCUCUUUACAUGACAAAUAAUACCAUAGAGAUAAGUUGAUCUCACAAUACAUACUGGCUACAAAUUUAUUUGUGUUACAGUUGCCAAAUAUAAUGCUUCUCAAGGGGAUUGGGAAGUUAAAAAUUAUUUAGUGGGUAUCUGGCACAGAAAUAAUGACAGUUUAGACCUAAGGAGUUACAUCAUUUAAAUGGUUUUAAUCCUGGGAAUAUGUUAAAACAUUCAGUAUGAUAUGUUUUUGCUACUAAUUCUCUUUUGUGUUGUAAUAAUAGGUUGCCAUAUCUUCCAGCAAGGCAUCUGAGAACUUCAAAUACUAGCUCAUCACUUGUGUUUAAAAAAAAAAAAAGAAAAGAAAAAAAAACAAAGGGGGAGAUGUUGAGAAUGGUGAAUGAAUUAUGCUCUUUGAACUGCCAAGUGACAGGCAAUACCUCCCUUGGGAAUUUUUUAAUGCAUUUGAGAGCCAACCCUUGAAAAAUUGGCCUCAACAAAGAGUGUUAGAUAAAAUAAAACUGAUUAGGAAAAUACAUUAAUUUAGGCACAUAAAGCUCAAAUAUGAAUUUGCCAUGAAAUCAUGAGCUCAAAAAUAUAGGGUUUUUUAAAGAGCAAAACAAAAGCCAUAAUUAUUCUUGUAAAGAGACAUGUUGAACAACUUUAUGAGAUCAGUUCACUUUGAGUUCAGAUUAGAGUAAGUUCAGAUAUUUAAAAUAUAGAGUAAAAUCUUCAGAAAAGUUUUUUUAAAAAGGGAAAACAUAUAUUUAGAAUCUUUCCAUUGUUCCCUCUUGGUGCUCAAGCAUUCAGGGGAGGUUAUUAACAGUGUGGUAAAGAUACCAAGUUAAGGCAGAACAGAAGAGGCUCAGAUUUAAACAUGACAUCUUUUUCUCUUUAGGCCGUCAAGUCAGAAAUCACUUGAAUUUUUAAAAGGGCUACUUUUUUCCUGUGGUCUUAAAUCUUACAUGAUUCUCUGAAAAUGUGGUGCUAUAGUUUAUGUUUUUUCUGAAGACCCUAUCCCAAUGAGGUUUUAACUGAGGAGGCAAAAUUGUCUGUCUAUAUUUGUAAUUUACAUUCAUUACCCUAAUGUUUAUCACAAUGGCUGCAUGGGCAGAGGCCUGGUUUGUUUUUAUGACCAGAUAACUGCUGAUAGUCUCUGGCCAAGCGUCUAGGCUCACUUCCUUUUGGAAUUUUAAGUUUUUAAGUUUUCCAGGAAGGCUGAAAAACUCUUUAAUUUUUUUUAAUUGUUGAUGGACCUUUAUUUUUAAUUAUUUGUUUAUAUGAAAAAGAAGCCAGUGCCUCACACAUGCAAAGCAAGCACUCUACCACUGAGCCACAACUCCAGCCCUGCAAAACUUCUCUUAAAGCUGUGGCCAGAGUUUCAACUCCCACUCAUAUUUCAGGAAACAGCUUCUACUGAGCAGGGGAAGGGCUGUAGGAGAUGCUACAGGCUGAAGAGUGUUUAUUUUUUACAGCCUUUAACAGUGUUUCUAAAGCCAGAAAUCAGGUCAGAAGCCAAACAUUUCAUGUGAUUACAAGAUGGAUCAAGACAAUUUCAUAUCAAAGACCAUGGGGAUUUUGUCCAGUUCCUUGGUCACAUAGCUAGCAUGCAUGUUCACUGAGUUUCUCCCAUGACUUUACACCUACCGCUCCCUCCUCAAGUAACCAAGGAAAAGUUUUAAUAACAAAUUCUAAAAGCUGUGGCAACUGCCUUCUCUAUGGGGCUGUCCUGUAAUUUAAACAUAGUCUUCAACAUAGUAACAUAGGGAUCCCUUUCUUCUAAACUGUUCUGAAUUUUACAGCAAGCUAUGUAUAAAGACUCGCUUGUCUCCUUCCUACUUUAAUGGACAUGUAUCUUUUUUAGGAGCAUUCCACUCACCUUGAAAAGUGAAUUCCUUGUGUGUCUGUGUUGGUCCCUGUUCAGGUGCCAAAUGUCCAUCCUGUGUGAAAGUGUAUUCAGGGCAACACAAACUAGUCAGUAAGGGGAUUAUGAAAAGACACAUAAACUAGAGGAAAAGGCAGGGUGGUUUGGUUCAGCCUGCCUCUGGUGGAGGAAGACUGACCACAAGCAAGCUUGGCACAUUUAUUAUAUAGGUUUAAACAUCAGAAGGAUUUAUUGUCAGAAAGCCUCUUCAAGAUAAAACUGAAGCUGAGGGUAAAAGCAGCCCAUUAGGCUUAUCAGCUUUUGGCUAUAAUUCUCUACCUCUGGGCAGCAAGUAUUUGAACCCAAGGUUAUGAACUAAAACUUGGCUAGUAAGGAAUUUCCCUUUGAACAGGGUGUUACCAUACAAUUGGCUGGUUUUUUCUUUGCCUUUGCACUAAGACAUUCCCAAGGGAGUUGUCUCCUCUGUUUCUGGGAGGUUCAAAGACCCGUAUUUCAUUGCCUUUCCUGAGUUUCCACAUUUUUUGUUAAAUUGAUUGGUAGGCAUUGCAUGUUUCUUAAUGCUGUGGUAAAUUUUAUUUUUUCAUUUUCCAAGUGCUAAUUUCUAAUGUAUAGAAGUACAACUUAUUUUUGUAUAUACUUUUUGUUUAUAUUCUAUGACCACGUCAAAUUCAGAUCAUUAGUUUUUUGUUUUUAGGAUUCCAUAGGAUUUUCUAUGCAUAUAUUAUGUGUAUACUGUCAACAUCUGUGAAUAAAGACAUUUUGACUUCUUUUAGUCUUUGCAUUUUAUAUAUUUUCAUCUUGCUUUAUUCUAGGACUUUCAGUAUACUGUUGAGUGGAAGCAGUCUUCCUGCUUUGUGCUCAAGCAUUCAGUUUUUUAAUAUGAAGUAUAAUGUUGGCUGUAAACUUUUCACAUAUGUUUUAUCAUAUUAAGAAAGUUCUUCAUAUUUUUAUUUUGACGAGAUUUUUUAGAAAUUAAGAUUCUGUUUAUCUUUGUCUACUGAAACAGUCAUUUGAUUUUCUUGUUUCUUCUGUUGGUGAAAAAAAAAAUUUAAACUCUACUUGCAUUUCUGUAUUAAAAAACCCUUGGUUAUGCUAUGGUAUUUACAAAUCAUUGGAUUCAACUUGUUAAUAUUAUUAAAAUUUUAAAUUUUAUUAAAGAUUUUUUGUUUUGUCUAGAUCCAUGAAGGAAUUUUUCUGCUUAUUAUGACUUGGCCAGGUGUUAGUAUGAAGGUCAUUCAGAUCUUAUAAAGUGCAAUUCAUUUACAUCUCAAGUGUUAGAAAGAAUUAUAAGUACUGCCAUACAGACCUGGAAUUUUCUUUAUGGAAAGAUUUUUAAUUAUGGCGUUAGCUUCUUUUGUAAGUAUCAUUGUUGAUGAUUUCUAUUUCUUCAGUUUUAAUAAAUUUGGCUUAUAUCUAAA
rnacentral:lncRNA from 1 species